GUUGGAGAUCUUUGAAAAACGGUUCCUGUGAGCUAUAUUUUUGAAAAUACACAGCCCGCCUCUCCCUUCAGCCCUCCCCUCAAAGCCACGCCUUCAAAACACAUGAACGCGCAUGCAGUCUGUCAAGUGUUCGGAUUAUCCCGGGAACCCACGAGAGCUCACGAGGCGGGGGGGCGGGCUAGAAGCCACGACAAAGCGACUAGCCAAGCUAACUUCCAGCCAUGGCACCGUCUCCGGCUACGGUAAGAAUGUUCAACAUCACAAUAAACGCACAGGCCGUCAUGGUUGCCAUUUCAAGAAAUAUUGAUGACAGUAGAUGUAUACUAGAUUAGUUAUUGAACUUGACUUGAUACGUGUUACUUAGAUAUCUCAUUCUAACUUCCUAACACUGAUGACAGAUGCUAUACUGUCAUCCCUAGACAGUAGUUCUAGCCAGUAGCUACAGUACUGACACAUGGAUUUAUUUUGACAGAUGUGUACCGCAGUAUACAUUUUACUAGUGUAUUUAUAUAUACCCGACACCACAAUCCGUAGUGUUUUAGGCUAUGACUUCAGAUUUCACUUGGGUUGUCGCACGCGCAGACACAGGGACAGAGGGAGUAAAGAAAAACAACCGAACUGAUCAACGCUAAUGAAAUUGUUUUGGCUGACGAUAUUUUCAUAUGCUUUUAGACCUUCCACGACCACGAGAGCUCCAACUCUGACUUUCCUGGCCCAUCACAAUCAUAACGACCUAACAGCCCAGUAGGACCGAUGGCCAGAGAUGGAGGAGGAGGAAGAUAGACGCAGCAGAGGUCGGGGGUAUUGAUUAGGGAGACUCCAACAGAAUUGACGCCCUGCUAACUGCCUUGAUUCAAUCAUUGAAUUUGAAGCAAUCCCAUCGGUUACUGCAGCGUGCCCUGACCCGUGACCCCAGUUUGAUGUUCGACCUGGCACAUGACAUCUGGUCCUCAGUCACAGCCCAGUAGCACAACCAACCUGGCGCCUCUGCGCAAUCUGUAAGGAGAUGCCCAUGAACAUUGAAAGGAAAAGCUGUGGUGUUCUCAGUUUUGAUAAGACUUUGGGCUGAUGUAGGACCAGGUGAGAGAAACGGUCUCUUCAGGCAUGCAGCCUACAGACAGUAUGGGGCACUUGAACAGGGCUGACGUUGUAAUACACAGUACAAUACCCAGGAUUAGCCAGGGUUACCCUGCUCCACUAGAGCAAUAUAAAAGGUUUAUACAGAGUACGGUAUAAAACACACAAACCAGUAGUGUGCAGACUUUUAUUAUUUUUCAUUAUCUGUAGGAGCAUUCAUCACCUUUUUGGUUUGGAACCACGUUUGUCUUGUUACCAUUGUUUUUUUCAUACAUAGAAAAUAAAUGCAACCUGUCAAAUGUUCUUCUGAUUGUGGUCUUGUGGAAUAUAUAAAUUAUGUAACCAUGCAUUUUCAGUCAGAGAAUGAAUUAAAAAAAGCCACACAGUCAAA